rnacentral:rRNA from 1 species
GACAGAGGGGGCAAGCGUUGCUCGGAAUUACUGGGCGUAAAGGGCUCGUAGGUGGCCAACUAAGUCAGACGUGAAAUCCCUCGGCUUAACCGGGGAACUGCGUCUGAUACUGGAUGGCUUGAGUUCGGGAGAGGGAUGCGGAAUUCCAGGUGUAGCGGUGAAAUGCGUAGAUAUCUGGAGGAACACCGGUGGCGAAGGCGGCAUCCUGGACCGACACUGACACUGAGGAGCGAAAGCCAGGGGAGCAAACGGG